GAUGAACGCUGGCGGCGUGCCUAAUACAUGCAAGUCGAGCGAACGGACGAGAAGCUUGCUUCUCUGAUGUUAGCGGCGGACGGGUGAGUAACACGUGGAUAACCUACCUAUAAGACUGGGAUAACUUCGGGAAACCGUAGCUAAUACCGGAUAAUAUUUUGAACCGCAUGGUUCAAAAGUGAAAGACGGUCUUGCUGUCACUUAUAGAUGGAUCCGCGCUGCAUUAGCUAGUUGGUAAGGUAACGGCUUACCAAGGCAACGAUGCAUAGCCGACCUGAGAGGGUGAUCGGCCACACUGGGACUGAGACACGGCCCAGACUCCUACGGGAGGCAGCAGUAGGGAAUCUUCCGCAAUGGGCGAAAGCCUGACGGAGCAACGCCGCGUGAGUGAUGAAGGUCUUCGGAUCGUAAAACUCUGUUAUUAGGGAAGAACAUAUGUGUAAGUAACUGUGCACAUCUUGACGGUACCUAAUCAGAAAGCCACGGCUAACUACGUG
rnacentral:rRNA from 1 species